rnacentral:rRNA from 1 species
CCUUGCACACACCGCCCGUCGCUUCAUCCGAAGUUGGUUCUUGGCGAGGUAGUGUCUCAUUGGCACUAUCGAACCUGGGGUCAGCAACGAGGGAG